CACGUAGGGGGCAAGCGUUGUCCGGAUUUAUUGGGCGUAAAGAGCUCGUAGGCGGUUCGGUAAGUCGGGUGUGAAACCUCCAGGCUCAACCUGGAGUCGCCACCCGAUACUGCUGUGACUUGAGUACGGUAGGGGAGUGUGGAAUUCCUAGUGUAGCGGUGAAAUGCGCAGAUAUUAGGAGGAACACCAGUGGCGAAGGCGGCACUCUGGGCCGAUACUGACGCUGAGGAGCGGAAGCGUGGGGAGCAAACAGG
rnacentral:rRNA from 1 species